UUGGCGGACGGGUGAGUAACGCGUGGGCAACCUGCCUUACACAGGGGGAUAACACUUAGAAAUAGGUGCUAAAACCGCAUAAGCGCACAGCUUCGCAUGAAGCGGUGUGAAAAACUCCGGUGGUGUAAGAUGGACCCGCGUCUGAUUAGCUUGUUGGCGGGGUAACGGCCCACCAAGGCGACGAUCAGUAGCCGGCCUGAGAGGGCGGACGGCCACAUUGGGACUGAGACACGGCCCAGACUCCUACGGAAGGCAGCAG
rnacentral:rRNA from 1 species